GGUGGCCGCAGAGAAUAGGCCCAAGCGACUGUUUACCAAAAACAUAGGUUUCUGCUAAGUCGCAAGACGAUGUAUAGGAGCUGACGCCUGCCCGGUGCUGGAAGGUUAAGGGGAUCUGUUAGAGCAAUCGAAGCAGUGAACUUAAGCCCCAGUAAACGGCGGCCGUAACUAUAACGGUCCUAAGGUAGCGAAAUUCCUUGUCGGGUAAGUUCCGACCCGCACGAAAGGCGUAACGAUUUGGGCACUGUCUCAACAACAGACUCGGUGAAAUUGUAAUUCCGGUGAAGAUGCCGGAUACCUGCGACAGGACGGAAAGACCCCAUGGAGCUUUACUGUAGCUUGACAUUGGGUCUUGGUACUACAUGUACAGGAUAGGUGGGAGGCUUUGAAACCAGGACGCCAGUUUUGGCGGAGCCAUCCUUGGGAUACCACCCUUGUAGUACUGGGACUCUAACCAUAGGCCAUGAAUCUGGUCUUGGGACACUGUCAGGUGGGCAGUUUGACUGGGGCGGUCGCCUCCCAAAAGGUAACGGAGGCGCUCAAAGGUUCUCUCAGUACGGUCGGAAAUCGUACGUAGAGUGUAAAGGCAAAAGAGAGCUUGAUUGCAAGACAUACAGGUCGAGCAAGGAUGAAAAUCGGACUUAGUGAUCCGGUGGUUCUGCGUGGAAGGGCCAUCGCUCAACGGAUAAAAGCUACCCUGGGGAUAACAGGCUUAUCUCCCCCAAGAGUCCACAUCGACGGGGAGGUUUGGCACCUCGAUGUCGGCUCAUCACAUCCUGGGGCUGUAGUAGGUCCCAAGGGUUGGGCUGUUCGCCCAUUAAAGUGGUACGCGAGCUGGGUUCAGAACGUCGUGAGACAGUUCGGUCCCUAUCCGUCGCAGGCGUAGGAAAUUUGAGAAGACCUGUCCUUAGUACGAGAGGACCGGGAUGGACGUACCUCUGGUGUACCAGUUGU
rnacentral:rRNA from 1 species